GGUCGCCGCAUAGCUCAGUUGGUUAGAGCGACGUGCUAAUACCGCGAAUGUCGUGGGUUCGAUCCCUCCUGUGAUCA